UCAGCUGAGUCUGAGGCGCAUCUAGAAGAGGGAGGUCCUCUAGCUGCUCAUUCAUUCACCUGAUAAUUGUCAUGUGCCACAUACAGGACACGCUAUGUUUACGUCUGGGACAGCUCAGUGAGACUAAGAAGAGGGAAAACAUGCGGCUCUUGUGGAGAUUAGUUGUAGUGUAAGGGGCAGCCUGCACUUGACCCUCGGGCAAUGCGGGGAUGGGGGCAGUGACCCCCGCGUGCAGUCAGAAAUCCAAGUACAGCUUUUGACUCCCUCAAAACAUAAGAACUAACAGCCUCCUGGUGACUGGAAGCCUUACUGAUAACAUGAACUGUCGCUUCACACAUUUGCAUGUUACAUGUACUAUAUACUGUGUUCUUACAAUGAAUGAAGGUAGAGAAAAUAGUAGAAAUCAUAAGGAAGAGAAAGUGCGUGGACAGUACUUACUGUAGAAAAGUCCGCAUCCAGGUGCACACGCCCCGUGCAAACCAGUGUCAUGCAGAGGUGAACUGUGUACUGUGUAAGCGCAGUAAUAAGGGAAGUGUUUACAUGGAAGUUGGCAGGAGCUUUGAGGAAGGUGACCCAGAGCACUGUGCUGGGACGGGGACCAUGGCUCCGUUACUCCAGGGAUCAGGGAGCCUCACUGAGAAGGUGACCUCUGAGAGGUUUGAAGGUCAUGAAGGAAUUGUGUCAGAGGAGGUCUGGGCGGGGAGCUCUUUCCAGGCAGGGAACCCCCAGUGCACACGCACUAGGACAGGAGCAUGUCCUGUGUUCACGGAAGGGUGAGGAGGCCACUGGGGCUGGAGCAGAGAGCCGGUGACGUGAGGUCGGAUGUCAGCCUCGUCACGGAGGCCUGAGGAUAUUAGAAGGGUUCUGAGUUUUCUCUGAGGGAGGCGUGGAGUUACAGGAAUGAACAGAUCGAUGCGAUUGACUUUCUUGAGCAGCAUCUGUUCGCCUCUGUGCAGAAUCGGGAGGUGCAGGGAGAGCGACUAGUAAGGAACCUGUAGGAAACCCAUGCCGUGUCCCAGGAGGGGGAUGUGGGAUGUACGUCUGGGAUGUGAGGAGGGAAGCUACUAGGAAGUGAUUGGGAGCUGGAGAUAUUCACAGAUGGACUUUGCAACAUUUCCUAAUGGAUUCAUUCUGUAUGGUGAGAAGGAGGAAUCAAGGAGGGCAUCCGGUGUUUCAGACUGCAAGUAGAAAUGUGGGGUGCUUUCUUGGAAACGGGGAAGACUCUGGAAGUAAGACAUUUGGGGAAGCAGCAUCACAGGCAUCCAGUGUAAGAAUGUGGAAUCUGGGAUGUCUAUUAGAAACCUAAGUGAAGUUGGCAGUUGGAUACAGAGUGCAGGGUAGGAGAAAUAUCUAGGUCGGAGAAAUAGAUUUGCGAAGUGAUGUCAUUAAAUGAUGUUUGAAGCUUCAGCAGAGAUGAGGUCACCAAGGAGGUGAGGGCCAUAGAAGAGAAAGGAACAGGACCAAACCCUGCACUCCUCAGGGCUAAGCAAGCUGGUCAGAGCACACACCCAGAGUGUACUGCACAGUCUGGUUCUGCGUCUAGAAGGCACAUAGACCAGGGAGGCCCACCCUUCAGUGUGCACAGGAAUUGCCUGGACUAUGAAGAUCUAGACAGUCUGGAGUAGAGCAUGAGAUUCUGGGUUGGUAACAAGGUUGGUGCUGAUGCUGCUGGUCUUCAGAUCCCACACUGAGUAGCAAGCACAUGAAGCAGGAUCCCCACAUGGCCAUGCAUCAGCCUCUCCUGUAGGGCUUAUUAGGUAAGUGAUUCCUGGGCCCACGCCCAACAUUCUAAGCUGGUGGGUCUGGGAAGAGGCCUGAGUAUUUGGUAAUGAAUCCACCAGCAAUCCUGGGGCUCCCCCAGAUAUGGAAGCAGUGAAGUCAUUGAUGAGAGUCCUCAUCAUGGGAAAGGGUCUUACAGACACAUUUAAAUGGUUUUGGGGGGGGCACCUGAGUGACAUCUGACACUUGGUUUCGGUUCAGGUCAUGAGAACUAGCCCACGUCAGGCUCUGCACCCAGUGAACAGUCUUCUUGAAAUGUUCUCCCUCUCCCUCUACCCCUCUCCUCUUUGUCAUGCACACACACUCUUUCUCUCUCUCUCAAAUAAAUAAAUAAAUAAAUACAAUCUUUAAAUUUUUUUUUUGUAGGAAGAAAAAUGUAAGACAUGCUGUGAGAAACAUGUUUUCUCUCUUGUGGGGCACAGCCAGGUGGCAGAUUGAAAAGCCACUGAACAGGCUUGAGGCUACACAGCCGGGAGCAGAAUCCACGCUGGACCCUCGAUGGAGGCCCACCUACAGCCAGCACCCUGCUACUGGGUAUCGAUGCCCCUGUCCACACCACUGACUCCCCUGAGGGAGGACACUGGGCCCUGAGGCUGGGACUGCUAUCGCUGCUGCCCUGACCGCUGCAUGACCCCGCUGUGACACUGCUCGGACCCCCUGCGCCCAAUGCAUGGACGCUGUCCCAGUGUGUCUGUCACGUGUCCUGAGUCAGAGUCUGGCAGGGGGUCACGUGACUGUUGACGCUUCAUGUCACAUCCAACUGCAAGACUGGCAAAGUGGGUUCUCCUCUCUAUGGAUGGAGGUGGUCUCUGUCCCCAACAAGAUUCUUUAAGUGUGGAAUUCCUUCAUGUGGGAAGAGAGGUACGAGUUCUGGGAACGGACGUUGGGGACCAGGAAUGGAAAAGAACGACAAAUUUCGCCAUUUGGAGUCGUGAUCUGAGACUAGAACUUGAUCUGGACGCUGUAGGCUCUCAAGUCUGCUUGGAUGGAGUGACUCAUAAAUGGCCUCUUUCAACUUAUUCCCCUGAUGGUUGUUGGGGACCCAGCGUUUAUCUACUCCAGUUCCUACUCACACGUAAGUGGACUAGCAUUGUUGGGUGAUGAAGUGAUUGCUCAACAUGUCUUCUCCCGGCCUUGGUCUCUUCCUGGGAUUAAAAACCCAGAUCUGUAUCACUUCAGAUGAUCUGCACAUAUACACUGACAUUUUAUGUUUCUUCUUACAUGCACAUAUUUCUAGGGAGAGUGUGUGUAAUUUUAUUUGGUUUUAUGUGGCCUCCACAAAAGUAUGAAAACCUGUUCCAGUGUAGACACUAUUCUACUUCAUCUCUGGUCCACAAACAGCUAAUUAUCACAGUGUUUUAGCAGAUCCAAUGACAUGAUAGACAUGCUCAACUUUGUCUGGGCAAUGACCAGUCUCAGACAGAAGGUAGAGCUUUCUUGCUUAUACUCACUUUCAAUUUCUUUAUGUAUCUUUUUAAGGGCUGAUUAACAGUUCACAGACCAGUGCUGGCUCACAGAAGACACAAUCAUCAUUGGUUUAGGUGACUUAUACUCCAGCACCUACUCUGGUGCCUAAUAAAUAGCAGAAAUGAAAAACAGUUAAUGGGGUCUCCAUUUCCAGUAACAUAGUAGACUAGGGUUUAAGGCUGCCUCUUCCCUAAAAACAACUAAAAAUGCUAGAAAAAAACCAUAAAAUCAUCCAAAAGUGCAGUAGAACAAUCAAGAGAGUAAUCAUUUAAGUCAAAAUUUAAAUAUGGGCAGUAAGCCAGAGAGAAUAGUUGUUCUGAUCCUUAGGGCAUUUUUCAAAUCUAGAAAACCUUAGCCUGGCUUCUCAGGCUCAUAAGCUUCAUAGAGAGGAAAUAAUGCCCAGAGCUUCUUCAUGUGAGGAGCAGGAGAAACAUCCCCUCCCUGAAAAUCUGGAACUUAAGACUCAUAUCCUCAGAACAGGGUGACACAAAGCAAAUCUGUUCUAUUUUCAAGUACAAAUUUGUUCUAUUUCAAGUACAAAUUUGCCUUUGAGCCGGGAAAAGUGAGCAAACAACUAUUUCAAAAAAUUUGCAAUCACAGACUAAGCCGUCUGUGAUUUUUUUGUCCAAAUUUGCUUUGUCAUUGUCCAUUGAAUCAAACUAACUUCAUGUCAUUAGUUUAGUUAAUAAUUGUCCUGGAUUGGUGAGGACCCAACAACUGUAAGAAAGAAACAAAUUUCUCAAGGGAAAUCUCUAUUUAACCUACGUGUCAAAAAAUUUACACAAAUAAUUGCACAAAGAAAAAGAGCAACUAGUAGAAAGAAAUGUAAAUUUCAAAUGAAAAAAGACUGAUUGACUAACUUUAGAAAGAAUCAGUAGUAAAAUGCUCAUGAAACUUCAAUAUUGAAAUCGUAAGACAUAAGAUAUAACAUGACUAGGCUAUGAUAUAAAUAUAUAAAUAUAUGUUAUUUGAAUAUAUAUUAUGGAUAUGACAUGAAGAAAAGAAUCACAAUAUUGAAAAUGUAGUAAAAUGGCGAAAAAAGCACCUCUCAAAAAUAACUAUAAAAUAUAGUGAUUAAUAAAUAAUGAAAAUACUAUAUUCUCUGAAUAAGAAGUUAUCAGUAAAGAGGAAUGAGUGGAGGCAUGAAAAACAAAAAGCAGAAAGUAAAAUGGCAUCCUAAAUCCAACAGUGUCAAUAUUAACAUUAAAUGUCAAUGGCUUAAUUAAGUCCAUCCAAGUGCAAAUUGUUAGACUGAACACAAAACAAGAUCCAAUUAUGCUGUCUACAGUAGACUCACUUGAAACUCAAUUACAAAUAGAUUAAAAUCAAAGGGAUGGGAAAAGUCAUCUCAGGGAAACAAUCAUAAGAAAGCUGGAGGGGACGCACUCUUAAGCCAAAACGGACUUUAAAAAUGCUAGUGAAGAUAGACAGGAUCGGGUAGGCAGAGUUAAAAUGGUGGAGUAGUAGAGAGACCCUGAACUUGACUUGUCCUUCGAAUACAGCUAGAUCAACAUUCAACUAUUUUGAACAACGAGGAAGAUGAUCUAGGAUUAAGGAAACAAUCUGCACAGGUGGGGUGAAAGAAUUUGGCAGAUCCGAGGUUCAGAGCUCUGCACUGGGGGAGAGGCAAGUGGUGUGGCCAUGAACGGGAGGGAACCCAGUUUGCAGAGCAAAGUCAGGAAGAGGGAGAAAGUGGCCAGCAGGUAGGGACCUCACAGUAACCAGUGAAGAGAUCCCCUGGGUCACUCAGGGAGACAUUACUCCCCUUCCCAGAGGGCAUUUGCAAGACAGUAUUUAGCCUCUCCAAGGACAAAAGGCCAGCCGGGGCCAUUGUGGGGAUCUCAGCAACAGGGUUAGAGGUGCCCAGGGAGGGCAGAAAACCUCUUCACUUUUCGCUGUGAGCUACAAUGGAUUCAAACCUCUGUGUGGGAGCUGAGGGGCCACUUUUCUGGGGCUGAACUGAGCAGAGCGCAGAGACUGGAGCAGGUCACAGAUAACCUGGCCAACACUUCUCGCUGUCGGCCCCAAUAGAUUCAAGCCUCUGCAACUGCUUUUCUGGGAAAGAAGGGAGUAGGGGACUGCGUCCAUGCCCAGGGCUGAUAACCUGGUCCCAGCUUCUGGCUGAGCGUUACGAUAAGCUCUAGCCUCUGUGUGCGCACCGUGCGAUGGCUUUUCGGGGACAGAACAGUGCUGGGCCUGCCCUGAGCCUCUCUGCAGGCGGAUGGGAGUGGGCCCUUUAAAACAUGGAGUUUUGAGUCCCAGUCACCAACCAGAGAGAAAAUACAAGAGAUCUGUGACUCUGGGCAUGCCCAAGACCCAGGCACAGACAAGUUAGGGCAGGGAACCAACGAGGGCCCAGGACACAGGAGAUUGUUCGCUUUUCUAAGAGGACCUCCUGAACAGCUGUAGCAGAGGGUUCCACUCCCCAGGGACAAGAGGGUGGGAGACGCCACAUUCUAGCCCCUACACCACCCGCACCCCCCAGCACAGUCAGACUCCAGAGUGAAACAGCACCUCUAGUGGAGGCUGGAGUCCCCCACACUAAACCCCGCCCUCCUGUACCUGGCAGGGGCAUUAUUGCAUGGGCAAGAGAGCCUGUGAGCCCGCACAGCAGGUCUCUCCCUCAGAAAAGCAACACAAGUGCCCCGCACCUACUAAGUCUACUGAUUAAAGAAAGCUGCAAAACAUCAGUUUCUGAUGGAAAUGCGACCAGGCUUGUUGUUGUUGUUGUUGUUUCUUUCCUCCCCUCUUCUUAAUUUUUAAAAUGUUUUGAAAUUUCUUAUUUUUUUAUUCUUUAUCCUUUAUUUUAUAUAUUUUUUUCUUUUUUUAAUUUUCCCCUUAUCUUAUUUUUUGUAUCAGGCUUAUCAUUUUUUAUUCAUUUGUUGGUUUGUUUGUUUCCUUCUCAUAUUUUUCAGAUCAGGCUUAUUAUUUUAUUUCCUCUUUUCUUCUUUCCCUACUCUGUUUUUCCUUCUUUCUUUAUUUUUUAGAAUCAGACUUACAGCUUAUUGUUUGUCUGUUCAUUUGCAUUUUAAUUCCUUUUCCUGUUGUCUUGGAUCAGGCUUUUGUUGUUGUUGUUUUUUCUUUUUUCUUUUCUUUUUCUUUUUCUUUUUCCUUUUUCUUCUUUUCUUUUACGGGUUUAUUUUGACAAACAAAUCAAAGCAACCAACUUAAUGGUGCAAACACUCCCCACUACAAGCACAGAGGAACUCUGUAGAGGGAGGACCAAUGGAAAAGAGCAGCCAAAACACAACAGUAGAGUCUACACAGCAUAUACCAGAAUUACUUCCCGAGUUGUUGUUGCUGUUAUUGCUGAUUUUUGCUGGGUUUUGUUUUUUCACCCUUUCUUUCCUCCUUUAUUUUUAUGGACAAAAUGACUAGACGGAGAAACUCACUUCAAAAGACAGAAGAGGAGGUAAUAUCACUGUCAGGGAUUUGAUCAAUAUGGAUAUAAGUAAGACGUCUGAACUAGAAUUUAAAACAGUGAUUAUAAAGAUACUAGCUGGGCUUGAAAAAAGCAUAGGAGGCACUAGACAA